AUUGAACGCUGGCGGCAGGCCUAACACAUGCAAGUCGAACGAGUGGCGGACGGGUGAGUAAUGUCUGGGAAACUGCCUGAUGGAGGGGGAUAACUAAUGGAAACGGUAGCUAAUACCGCAUACCAUCGGAUGUGCCCAGAUGGGAUUAGCUAGUAGGUGGGGGAAAGGCUCACCUAGGCGACGAUCCCUAGCUGGUCUGAGAGGAUGACCAGCCACACUGGAGCAUAGACACGGUCCAGACUCCUACGGGAGGCAGCCUUAGGGAAUAUUGCACAAGGGGCGCAAGCCUGAUGCAGCCCUGCCGCGUGUAUGAAGAAGGCCUUCGGAUUGUAAAGCACUUUCAGCGAGGAGGCGUUACCCGCAGAAGAAGCACCGGCUAACUCCGUGCCAGCAGCCGCGGUAAUUC
rnacentral:rRNA from 1 species